rnacentral:lncRNA from 1 species
AGACAGAGGGAUGCAGAGAAAGCAUAGCAGCAGUGACUGAUCCUGGUUUUCCAGUUUUCUAGUCUGGCCAGGGGAUAAAUCCAGCCCCAAACGCCAACCCCUUCCUUCCCUCCUUACUUUCGAUUUUCUUUCCCUUCUUUCUCUCCCUCCUGGUGCUCAAACAGAAGCACAAGAGGGGCCACCAGUGGCAACCCCCAGCCUCCUUGCAGGCCAGAUUCCCUGUAAACGUGGUCCUGAGUGCAGGAAAGCACUGGUGUGAUUAUCUAAUAAUAGCCAGGGCGGCUGAGACUAGAAUCUGGCUCAAGGACUCUGCACACGCCCAGGACGCCCAGGACGAAGGCUGGGCAGAGGCACCGAAUCUGUGGGUCAGGUUCUGGCAACACUCCCCGGAGCCCAGGGCCCCUAGCGUUCCCCUCUUUGGGCACCUCAGGCCUGCCCCUUCUAGGCUUUGUCAGCCCUGCCAUGGACUGUAUUUCAUGCACCAGUUCCUAGCUAAGGAGAAAUGGGCAGAGCAAACCCUUUCUCCCCCUGGGUCUGACAGUUGUGAUCCCCACGAAGAAUGCACCCUUGUUUGGAGAAGGCGGCCUUGUUGGGUUGGCUGUUGUGUUGCAAAAACCAGGCUUGGUAGCUUUAUACACUUAUUAUAUACAGGCUCAAAUGUACAGACUCUGACUUAUGCGUGAAUAUAUACAGACUCAUGUUUCCUCGGUGGUUAAUUGUAUAUUACCAUGCUUAUACUCGCUCAAACACCGUUUUAUGUGCAUGCAAAAUUUUGUUAGAUGGGAUUGGGCUCAAGGAGGCACUGGGUGCACCAAGAAGGCUCUCUGGGCAUGCUCUCCUGGAAAUGUGUGCACGCUGGAAUCGGAGUAUGCGGGUUCCAGUAACCAACGGAUGCCACAAAGGCUCUCUCAGACCUUAUUGCCUUCACAGUCCAAGCAGCUGGGCCAGGGAAAUAUUGAAUCCCUUCGGCUUUCUCUCCACACUUCCCCCCCAAACUUCCCCAACUCAGAGGCUGUUUACCAGGGGAACACUGUUGUGUUGAAAGUGAGAGUUUUGUGGGAAGCUCUUUUCGUGUUUUCGUGGGUAAAGUGGACGUUUGAGCAGUUCUGAGCACUCGGCUAGGCCCUGGUGCCUGAGCAUUGCUGGGACAGCAAAGGAGAUCUGAGUGGCUAGUUAAUAAGGUGGCCUCUGGGAAGUAGUCUGGGGCAGCUGUUUGAAAAGGCUGGUGGAGAAGGCGAGACAGAAUGGGUUAGGGGUGCGGUGAACAUCUAUCCCCGCUCUUGCCCCUGCUCACCGGACCCCAGAUUUGCCUGCGUUGUCUGGGGGGCAGAUUAGGGGCUCUCUACGCUUCCCAAAUAGGCAGAUCUGGUUACGGGUGAGAUUUCGUUUUAAUUCUCUCAGCUACCGACCGAAGCGGGGCGAAGGCUGACCGGCAGAGCCGGAGAAGAAACUGGGUCUAGCUGCCUGUGGGCCUGGGGCACUGAGUGUGGCCCGGGGCUGGGAAUUAACAGCCUCCUUUCUUAGCCUUCCUCCCUUUUGGGGCCCCGAAAAGACAGAGCAGGGGAGAAUAUAAAUGUCCGUGAAAAGCUCAUGAAAGAAAGUAAGAACAGGAAAGGGGCUAGUGGGGCUUUCCUCCACUCCCUAGGCAAUCAGGUUCCUCCCAAGACUCCUGUCCAGACACGCUGCGGGUGCCGGGUGCCGAGACAUGCAGCCUUCUUCCACCUUCUCCUGCCAGCGCUGGGGGCAGCCUUGGGCUUUUGGACCUCGGCCACCCGUGGGUGCUGGAGUGACAUGACCCCCAAAUUGUGCCCCUUACGCAGCCCCCCGGCCUCUGCCGCUGUGGCUGCAGCCGCCCCUGUUUAUUGUGUCUGUGAGUUGUUUACUUGUUUUGUCUGCUGCCACCCUGCGUCAGAAACCCGCCAAACCAGCAAACUCACCCAGGAGAACAAAGUGCGGCGCUAUCCUCUGCUCCCUCCCCUUUCCGGCACCCUGCUCCGGCCAUUACCUCCUCCCUCACUCUCUCUUUCCCAGGGGACGAAGCAGAAAUCGGCCUAAAAUAGGGCAGCUGUUUAUAGGGUUGGGGGAAUUAUGGGGACACCAUAAACCUCCGGGUGUCCUGGUGGUGGAGAGACUUAGAGCUGCCCUCCCCUCACCUCCGGCUUUUCUUCUUUCCCCUUGGCAACUGCUUGGUUAAGGGGGCCACAGUCAUUGAGGAAGCCGAGCCCCCCUUACCCCACUCCUCCACUCCUUUCUGCAGGAGUUUUCCCUGAGACACAGGUUGUUGGGUUUUAAAUCAGGGUAAUGUUGGCGGAUGCAUAAAACUAGAUAAAGUGUUGUCACUCUCCCCUCACCCUCCCUUCUCCUCAGUCCCCCAAAAUAGCAGUGAAUUUAAGCAAAUCCUACAAAAUUAAAUUGCCCCUUCGCUAAAGAUCCUAUAAAUCUCCAAUCCCGCCAGGUAUAGAGUCGGAGAGGCCGCUGUUUGCCUCUAAUCUUGCUCCUGGCUAUCAAAUCUAAAAGAGUAUCAUCGAAGUAAGUAAUAUUCUCGUUUCUGAAAUUAAUUCCCCCCUCCCCAUCUCUCUCUCUCUUUUCGCCAGUGCAGAUUAAAUGGUUCUCUCAGAUCUGCAAACAAUAAAGGAUAAAAUUAUUUA